UACAUUGAAGAUAGCAACUUCAUAUUUGGCAUGCAUGUGUAUCUCAUGAAGCUGCACAUUUUGAGUGGUGAAAGGUCAAGGUCAAGGUCAUCCUUCAAGGUCAGAGGUCAAAUAUAUGUGGCCAAAAUCGCUCAUUUUAUGAAUACUUUUGCAAUAUUGAAGAUAGCAACUUGAUAUUUGGCAUGCAUGUGUAUCUCAUGGAGCUGCACAUUUUGAGUGGUGAAAGGUCAAGGUCAUCCUUCAAGGUCAGAGGUCAAAUAUAUGUGGCCCAAAUCGCUUAUUUUAUGAAUACUUUUGCAAUAUUGAAGAUAGCAACUUGACAUUUGGCAUGCAUGUGUAUCUCAUGGAGCUGCACAUUUUGAGUGGUAAAAGGUCAAGGUCAUCCUUCACAAGGUCAAGGUCAUCCUACAAGGUCAAACAUCAUAUAGGGGGACAUUGUGUUUCACAAACACAUCUUGUUU